rnacentral:rRNA from 1 species
UACGGGGGGUGCAAGCGUUGUUCGGAUUUAUUGGGCGUAAAGCGCGUGUAGGCGGUUUGUUAAGUCUGAUGUGAAAGCCCUGGGCUCAACCCAGGAAGUGCAUUGGAUACUGGCAGACUUGAAUACGGGAGAGGGUAGUGGAAUUCCUGGUGUAGGAGUGAAAUCCGUAGAUAUCAGGAGGAACACCGGUGGCGAAGGCGGCUACCUGGACCGAUAUUGACGCUGAGACGCGAAGCGUGGGUAGCAAACAGGAUU